GUUCUUGCUCUUUUCUGUAACUACAGGCAGGUAGCAGGGAAGCGACUGGAGGAAAUUACAAGGGGCACUUCUGAAUAAAACUGAAAAAUGUCAAAAUUAUGGUAUACACGAGGAAAUCUGCAGAUGCUGGAAAUUCAAACAACACACACAAAAUGCCGGUGGAACACAGCAGGCCAGGCAGCAUCUAUAGGGAGAAGCACUGUCGACGUUUCGGGCCGAGACCCUUCGUCAGGAUUGACGUUACAGACUAGAAAAACUUAAGACGACGGACAGCUGUUGGCUUUCGCACAGGAGAACUUAAAACUAAAAAAAUACAAAUACUGGAGCGUACGGCGGCAACCAACAGAGUUCACGGACAGAUUGACCCGGCUGAUGACGAACAUUGAAAAACUGACCAACUCUGUUGCAUUAA